rnacentral:rRNA from 1 species
UACGGAGGGUGCAAGCGUUAUCCGGAUUUACUGGGUUUAAAGGGUGCGUAGGUGGGUCUGUAAGUCAGUGGUGAAAUCUUCAAGCUUAACUUGGAAACUGCCAUUGAUACUAUAGGUCUUGAAUUAUCUGGAGGUGAGCGGAAUAUGUCAUGUAGCGGUGAAAUGCUUAGAUAUGACAUAGAACACCAAUUGCGAAGGCAGCUCACUACGGAUGUAUUGACACUGAGGCACGAAAGCGUGGGGAUCAAACAGG